CCUGCCCAAAAAGGUGUUGCAGAUAUGGUCACAUAUAAAUCAGUAAAUGGCAGAGAGAAGAAAGACGAUGUCUAAACUGAAUGUUCUGACCUAUGAACAUCUGAAUCAUUAGUAGCCUAACAUU
rnacentral:snoRNA from 1 species